AGCAAUUGAGAGAAUGUCAUUGAGAACUUGCAAAUGUAGUGUGCUUCAGCAUGUCUGCAGAGCAGGCCAGAGUGUGAUGGGUGGCAGCUACGCUAUAUUCCUUCUCAAAAGCUACUAAUCUCUUACAUAUAAUAACAUUCUAAAACAAGCUUUCAUUUGGUGUUUAAAUGGAUAAAGCAUAGAUGUACUGUUAGAAUCAGAAUCUGGUAAGACUUUCAUACAAAAAUACCAAAUUUUGAACAUGAGUUCUGAAGGCAUACCCACAAAAUACGCCAUCCUGUCUACUAACUAUAAGGCUGCAUGAAAAUAGGUGCUUGAAUCAUUUGCCCUGUGUGUGUCAGUAAAUUUUUUGUGCAUGUGAACAUGAGAAGAUUUCUCCUAAGCUGAAUUGUAAGUUACUAACCAAUUAAACAUAGAAAAUCAGUCGAAAACACCUUUUGAUUUAUUUUACUUCAUUUUUAAAAAAUUAGAGCAACAUAAGAAGAACCUAUGGAAAAUGCCUAGAAUGAUGUUCUGAUUUUAUGCAAAAACAGCUGGGAAAUCUGAUACUGAUUUUGAAGUGGGAAGGAAGACCCUGUGCAAAGUGCUUUCGCUUGUUUUCAUAGAAAGCUUGGAUCAUCUGAAGCCUUUUGUGGAGCGUGAUACACCCAUUCACUGCUAUGCACAGAGUGCAGCAUGAAGACAGUAGGAGUGCAGUAGGCAUAGACGUCUACGGAAGAUGGAGAGGGCCCAUCCUGGAGCUAUUUCACCACACUGCUAUGGACAAGGCCAGAUCUCACCCCAGGCACAGUGAGCAUGACCCCCAGGAGGCCAAACAGGAUCCCUGCUCAGCCAUCCAGAGACAUGCUGCCUCUCAUGCCAUUUUGUUCAGCAGCAUAAGGCACCAUCUAAGGGUACCUUUCUCAAGUUUAAUUUUAUAAAGUACUUUCUUCCUUGCGUAUGCUCACCUGACAAUUUCCUGUGCUAAAAUACAAAUGAAACCAUCUUCUAAAUUUUUUUUUCAGACAAAAUCAGUCAGCUCUGUUUCUCCGAUGAUGCCAUGGAUUUUCAAAAGACUCUGUUGAAGUAUUUUUGAGACACUGUGCAUUUAUCUGUGCAGAGAAGAACUACAAUGUCUGUGAACUGCUUUUUGUCAUUCUCACAUUUAGAUUUUCAGAGAAGUUCAGCAUUCAGUGAAUAAACUUUAUGGUCUUCAGGGUUAUGUAUGGUCUAGCAGUGUAGCUAAGCAGUAGAUUUGCAAAACAAAACAAAUAAUGUUUAAGAUCCAGUGUCCCCGAUGUACACAUUUCAAGGGGAGUUUAAUUUAGAUUGGUCCUUGUGUUGCCCAUGAGCUUUGUCCCUUUUUGCAGUUGGUGUAUUUUCACAAUGCUUCCAGGGAAUAUAUCCCAGUUUAGUUCCAUCAUAAAGGAAUCUGGUUGGCAUUUUCCAAGGUGACUGCAUGAGCUGAACAAUCCUCUUUUAAAUGUGUAAACAGUUAUACUCCAGGCUACAGAAGAAACAGCAGUACCCAGAAUGAUUCAUUUUGCAGGAAAGUAAAACUAGCAGAAGUGUCAAUGAUCUUUCUUGUUGAUGUUUUCAAUUAAUUUAUUUGGAACCACUUGUCAGGAACUGUAUUUUUAGCUAGGUCUUCAUGAUAAAUUAAGAUGGAAAGGUCUGUAGGUCCUAGUACUGACAGGUAAAAGAGAUGGUGCUUUUUCCUUCUUGACAUUCUAGUUUUCCUCUUCUCUAUGUGCAACUGGUGUGCAGUGAAAGGAUGUUACUCAUGUUGUUAGAGGCCAUAUUUUCCCAUCCAACAUAAGAGUAUAUACUUCAGAGAAGCAGGAGUAACAGCAGGCUGUGAAGGAACCCAGUGGUGAUCAGGAGAAGUAACUGUGUCUCCAAAGGUCCAGUACCUUCCAGAUAACAUAACAAAACAUAACAACAACAAAUAUAUAUGUACAUAUAUAAAUAAUAAAAAAUAUCCCUGGAAAGUAUACUCUCGCCUGUCACACUCUAGUACAGCACCCUGUGCUGUCAAGUAAAUGUUUUUGCAAAUGUUACGUUUUCCUCAUCUCUUCAAUUGUUUUUUUCUUUCAGCUAUAUACUGUUAUCACAGAUGAUCUGAUUUCAAGGAACAAAAAAAUGUCUCUUUUUGUAAUAAAGCAG
ensembl:lncRNA